GACGAACGCUGGCGGCGUGCCUAAAACAUGCAAGUCGAACGAGGGUAGCAAUACCCUAGUGGCGAACGGCGGAGUAAUACGUGAACAAGCUGCCCUAGAGUCUGGGAUAUACAGCCGAAAGGCUGGGCAAUACCGGAUAUGCCUCCUUCUCGGCAUCGAGUUGGAAGUAAAUGGUUUUUCGCGCUAGGAGGCGUUCACGGCCUAUCAGGGAGUUGGUGGGGUAAUGGCCUACCAAGCCGACGGCGGGUAGCGGGUCGGAGAGGAUGGUCCGCUCGAGUGGGACUGAGACACGGCCCACACACCUACGGGUGGCAGCAGUUGGGAAUCUUGCACAAUGGGGGAAACCCUGAUGCAGCAACGCCGCGUGAGGGACGACGGCCUUCGGGUUGUAAACCUCUUUUAGUAGGGAAGAAGCGAAAGUGACGGUACCUGCAGAAAAAGCACCGGCUAACUACGUGCCAGCAGCCGCCGUAAAAC
rnacentral:rRNA from 1 species